GAUGAACGCUAGCGGCAGGCCUAAUACAUGCAAGCCGAGCGGUAGAGAUUCUUCGGAAUCUUGAGAGCGGCGCACGGGUGCGGAACACGUGUGCAACCUACCUUUAUCAGGGGGAUAGCCUUUCGAAAGGAAGAUUAAUACCCCAUAAUAUAUUUGAUGGCAUCAUUAGAUAUUGAAAACUCCGGUGGAUAGAGAUGGGCACGCGCAAGAUUAGAUAGUUGGUGAGGUAACGGCUCACCAAGUCAAUGAUCUUUAGGGGGCCUGAGAGGGUGAUCCCCCACACUGGUACUGAGACACGGACCAGACUCCUACGGGAGGCAGCAGUGAGGAAUAUUGGACAAUGGGUGAGAGCCUGAUCCAGCCAUCCCGCGUGAAGGACGACGGCCCUAUGGGUUGUAAACUUCUUUUAUACUGGGAUAAACCUACUCUCGUGAGAGUAGCUGAAGGUACAGUAUGAAUAAGCACCGGCUAACUCCGUGCCAGCAGCCGCGGUAAUACGGAGGGUGCAAGCGUUAUCCGGAUUUAUUGGGUUUAAAGGGUCCGUAGGCGGACUCGUAAGUCAGUGGUGAAAUCUCAUAGCUUAACUAUGAAACUGCCAUUGAUACUGCGGGUCUUGAGUAAAGUAGAAGUGGCUGGGAUAAGUAGU
rnacentral:rRNA from 1 species